rnacentral:rRNA from 1 species
AACGAACGCUGGCGGCAGGCCUAACACAUGCAAGUCGAGCGCGCCCUUCAGGGUGAGCGGCGGACGGGUGAGUAACGCGUGGGAACGUGCCCUUUGUUACGGAAUAGUCUCGGGAAACUGGGGGUAAUACCGUAUGAGCCCUUCGGGGGAAAGAUUUAUCGGCAAAGGAUCGGCCCGCGUUGGAUUAGGUAGUUGGUGGGGUAAUGGCUCACCAAGCCGACGAUCCAUAGCUGGUUUGAGAGGAUGAUCAGCCACACUGGGACUGAGACACGGCCCAGACUCCUACGGGAGGCAGCAGUGGGGAAUCUUAGACAAUGGGCGCAAGCCUGAUCUAGCCAUGCCGCGUGAGCGAUGAAGGCCUUAGGGUUGUAAAGCUCUUUCGUGGGGAAGAUAAUGACUGUACCCCAAGAAGAAGCCCGGCUAACUCCGUG